AGUGAACGCUGGCGGUAGGCCUAACACAUGCAAGUCGAACGGCAGCACAGUAAGAGCUUGCUCUUACGGGUGGCGAGUGGCGGACGGGUGAGGAAUACAUCGGAAUCUACUUUUUCGUGGGGGAUAACGUAGGGAAACUUACGCUAAUACCGCAUACGACCUACGGGUGAAAGCAGGGGAUCUUCGGACCUUGCGCGAUUGAAUGAGCCGAUGUCGGAUUAGCUAGUUGGCGGGGUAAAGGCCCACCAAGGCGACGAUCCGUAGCUGGUCUGAGAGGAUGGUCAGCCACACUGGAACUGAGACACGGUCCAGACUCCUACGGGAGGCAGCAGUGGGGAAUAUUGGACCAUGGGGGCAAGCCUGAUCCAGCCAUACCGCGUGGGUGAAGAAGGCCUUCGGGUUGUAAAGCCCUUUUGUUGGGAAAGAAAAGCAGCAGGUUAAUACCCCGCUGUUCUGACGGUACCCAAAGAAUAAGCACCGGCUAACUUCGUG
rnacentral:rRNA from 1 species